rnacentral:rRNA from 1 species
UGGGGAAUAUUGGACAAUGGGGGCAACCCUGAUCCAGCCAUGCCGCGUGUGUGAAGAAGGCCUUUUGGUUGUAAAGCACUUUAAGCAGUGAAGAAGACUCCAUGGUUAAUACCCAUGGACGAUGACAUUAGCUGCAGAAUAAGCACCGGCUAAUUCUGUGCCAGCAGCCGCGGUAAUACAGAGGGUGCAAGCGUUAAUCGGAAUUACUGGGCGUAAAGCGAGCGUAGGUGGCUUGAUAAGUCAGAUGUGAAAGCCCCGGGCUUAACCUGGGAACGGCAUCUGAUACUGUUAGGCUAGAGUAGGUGAGAGGAAGGUAGAAUUCCAGGUGUAGCGGUGAAAUGCGUAGAGAUCUGGAGGAAUACCGAUGGCGAAGGCAGCCUUCUGGCAUCAUACUGACACUGAGGUUCGAAAGCGUGGGUAGCAAACA